rnacentral:rRNA from 1 species
GACGUAGGGCGCGAGCGUUGUCCGGAUUUAUUGGGCGUAAAGAGCUCGUAGGCGGCUUGUCGCGUCGACUGUGAAAACCCACGGCUCAACUGUGGGCUUGCAGUCGAUACGGGCAGGCUAGAGUUCGGUAGGGGAGACUGGAAUUCCUGGUGUAGCGGUGAAAUGCGCAGAUAUCAGGAGGAACACCAAUAGCGAAGGCAGCUCGCUGGGACGGUACUGACGCUAAGGCGCGAAAGCGUGGGGAGCGAACAGG